CAGAAUAGGUGCUGCACAAAAGUGCUGGCAAGACAGCUAUUUUAUUUUUUAUUUGAAAUAAGCAAUGAAGGUUUCACAAGACACUACACUCAAUGCACUUCACAGAGACAGUCAUUUCUCAAGAAGAGCUAAAUUUCACCAGUUUUCACCAUAUUGAAUCUUUGUAUGGAAUUCCUUGUACAGGGUUCUAACAUCGGUACCUAAAGAACGUGGAAAUUCAGCUGAAGCUGCAUGAAAGCAACAUUUAGAGUGUGAAAAGGAUUUCCAUUUAUGCUGCAGCAGGUGCCGGAGCUGGCAGAACAGGGCACGAAGCAGAAAAUGGCCGACAGUGGGGUAACUCGC